UGUCGCGCGCGUUCAACCCUCAACGUCAAAACUUUCCCGCGUAAAAACUGACAAGUGACAUAGUUUUAUCUGUCAAACAUUUAAAGAGUUUUUAAUCAAGGAUACUACUUAGUCUGCACGUAAAAUGCUGGCUGAAAAAUAAAUGAUGUGAAUAGAUCGUAUCUGAUAUAGUUAAGCUUCGCUACGAGUAAGAAGCGGCAGUCGCGUAUGCGGCGCCGCGUGGUGCUGUAGUGGAUCACUGGGGUUCCUGGAGCCAGCUGGUGUUGGCGGGCGUGGGGUCUGUGGGAGCUCAGCGGAGCCCCCUGGGGUGGGCUAUGGGUACUUCUCAGCGACUGGCCGCGGUAGCCGCUGUAGCACACGCCAAACACCUCUACAAUCACACCCAGCCAACUGUCGUGCAGACCGAGGCCACCAAUUACCACGUCAAUGUAUUCUUCAUUAGUAUUACGCUGUGCGGCUUGUUAGUGGCGGUAUGCGCCGCGUGCUGUCGUCGGCCGAGGUCGACCGACAAACCCCAAGCUGUGACGCAAUGUCCCGGCGCCGGCGUGUACACUGUUAGCGACGACCUAAGACUGACUCAGGUGCAGAUAGAAGAUGGCGCUGGUCCUCCGCCAGCAUACGACCUGGUGGUUGCUGAAGCCUCGGACAAACACAGUGAUACAUUACAGGAGGUAACAGUCGCUCGUUGCUCCCGGUGUUCCAGAGCUAAGGAUCCUGGAUUGCCUUCCUACGAAGCAGCAGUAAUGCUGACGGAUACUAAAUUAUAAUAUAUAGAUGAGGUUUAAUAGUCACUUGUAGUUUAAAAUGCUAUUCUAUUAUAUUAUGUUAGUGAACAAAAAUGUGUAAAAUAUAAAUUAUUUAAUUUUAUGAUUAUAAAAUAGUAGGCGAUUAUCUUUAAAUGGCUCGGCAAAUGGCUGUUCCUCGGGACGUUGAUUUGAUUCAACAUUAUAAUAUCAUUUUUUAAUCAAACCUCCUUAUUCAUAAUGGUCCGCUAACUUUAAACUGCCGCUUAGGAGUGUUUUUUCUUAUUCUGACUUAGGUCGAUAGAAGAAGACAGAGUGAGAAUUAGCAAUGCUUUAAGUUAGACUAUUAUGAAUAAGGGGGUAAGUAUUUUCUUUGAUUAACGCGAGUCUUACACAAUUAAAUAAAACACUUUUUAAGUGCAGGUGAAAU